rnacentral:rRNA from 1 species
AGUGAACGCUGGCGGUAGGCCUAACACAUGCAAGUCGAACGGCAGCACAGUAAGAGCUUGCUCUUACGGGUGGCGAGUGGCGGACGGGUGAGGAAUACAUCGGAAUCUACUUUUUCGUGGGGGAUAACGUAGGGAAACUUACGCUAAUACCGCAUACGACCUACGGGUGAAAGCAGGGGAUCUUCGGACCUUGCGCGAUUGAAUGAGCCGAUGUCGGAUUAGCUAGUUGGCGGGGUAAAGGCCCACCAAGGCGACGAUCCGUAGCUGGUCUGAGAGGAUGAUCAGCCACACUGGAACUGAGACACGGUCCAGACUCCUACGGGAGGCAGCAGUGGGGAAUAUUGGAGAAUGGGCGCAAGCCUGAUCCAGCCAUACCGCGUGGGUGAAGAAGGCCUUCGGGUUGUAAAGCCCUUUUGUUGGGAAAGAAAAGCAGCAGGUUAAUACCUCGCUGUUCUGACGGUACCCAAAGAAUAAGCACCGGCUAACUUCGUG